CCCAUUUCCCCAUUAUUUCCCCGCUUCUUCCUCUCUCUUCUCACACUCUCCUCUCUUUUUCAAAAACCAGCAAUCUGCCACCCCUCUCCGCCGGCCAGAAAUCGUCACCACCAGCCGGUCUCCGUCCAAACACCACAAAAUAUAUACCAUUCUUCUCUCCUCACUCUUCUCUUUUUGAUUCCAAACCUCAAAACUUUCAAAAUCCUCCCCAAAUAUGUAGAUCUAACCUUGAUCCUAGCGGCCGUCUACCAUCUCCAAACCCCAUAAAAAUCACAUCACUGGCCUCUUCUCACCCUCCUCUUCUCCAUUCCACGCCCCAAAACCUUCAAACCCCUCCAAAAUCUAGCCGAACUCCGGUUACCCUAUUGCCACGACCACGACGCUGCUCCACCACCAAAACACCCUUGUAACUCUUCUUCUAUGCAUAAACAUGACCCUACAACCCCAUAUUUUCUUUGGCAUGAUUUGAAAUUAACCCCGAUAAUGCCGGAGCUUGUUUUUCCAACGCAUGCGAUGAAAAAAUAGUGUUUGGGUGGUCGAUUUGUUGCUGUUUGCAUCACCCUUGAGAUUUGAGGACAGUCGACUUGGUUCGUUUGAUACAACCCCUAACUCCUGUUUCUGAUUAUUGCUUUAGUUACUGAUUUUUGUUUGCUUGUUUGUUUUGAUGGAUAGUAUGAUUGGUGAUUAGUCGUCUAUAUUUAGCCUAGUUGAUUAUUAUCGACCAAAUUGAUUCAUUGAGUCGUCAUUUAUUAGUCAUUUCUUUAAGUUGACAUUAAUUGUUGUUCGGUAGCUUACCAAUGUUCAUUUAAGUUAUGUUUUAGGCGGUGUUUCCUAAUUUCAAUUGUUUUUUCUGUUAGUUGCAUGAAUCAAAGUUCUUUAAUCUAGUUCAUUGGAUUUUGGUUUACUUCUAAUUAAGGUCUUUUUGUUGCUUUGUCAAUAUCAUGACUUGAUUAAGUUUGAGUAUUUGAGUUUGUGUUGAUAAAGGCUGAAAAUAAAAAAGGUUUGGUUAUAUUUGUUUGCUUUUACUAUUAAGCUGCUGGAAAAUACCCAUUUUGUGUUAUAAUUUGGUGAAAAGAUGACUAAUUUUGGCACAAAAACGUUGGUCCUUUUGAACAAAUUUUUGGUGAGUCAAAAGCUAUCCAAGAAGUGAUUUUUUUGUCUACUUAAAGGCUGCUCUGUCCGCACUUUCAAACACAAAAGAUCUUACACUUAGGGGUCGUUUGGUAGGGUGCAUAAGAACAAUGCUGAAUAUGGUGUAUUAGUAAUACUGGUAUUAGUUAUGCUUGCAUUAGUUAUGCUGGUAUUAGUUAUGCUUGCAUUAAUUAUGCUGGUAUUAGUUAUGCUAACAUAUUUCUUAUCCAUUGUUUGGUUUUAUGUAUUAAAAUAUUGCACAAUUUUUAAAAAAAAUGUUUGUUUAUAAAAAUGCCCUCAAACUAGUCUACACUCUACCUUUUUAAAAGAAACAUAUGUCGAGAAAUGUUUUUAUAUGAAAAGAUUUAAAAAAUAUUUUAUUUGUCUCCCUAUAUUAUAAAAUAAAAUUACAUAUUUAUUUAUAAAAAAGGAAAAUAUGCUAAGAAUUUUUUUAUUUACUAGGAAUAUAAUUUUAUUUCUCACUAUUUGAAUUAUUUUGAACUUUUAUUAAUAUAUUAAUUAGCAUAUUUUAAUGGACAAUUUUGUCUUUAACUAAGCUAAUGCAUGUCUUCCUGUGACGACCCAACCCGUCAUCUCGUGAGUAACUACCCCGUUCAUUCCAUUUUCUGCUUUCUUAUGUUUCAUUACCGGUAUGGGGUGCUUUAGAAUUUAUUUGGAGUGAUUUUGAUAAGAAAUAAGACACUUUGGACAUAAAGGGGUACCAUAUUAAGAAAAUAAGCUCUAAAUUCAGUUUUGUUUGAACCAUUAGAUAUGUAUCAAAAUUAUGGAGUCAUAGGAAAAAGAAUCAUCAAAUUUGGACAUUGUAUGAGGAAGUUAUGCUCAUUUUUGUGUCGGAAAAAAUUACUACUUCUGGUAGUUUCGCAAAUGCGAAGAAAAAUAUGGGAAUUGCGAACCCUGCAGCUUCGCAAACGCGAAGAAAACAGGCUGGGAAAUGCGAAAAUACUGCAGAAAGAUGGAAAAUGCAAAAACAUUGUAGCUUCGCAAUUGCGAAGAAAUUUUUGGGAAAUGCAAAAACGCUACAGCUGGGCAGAAAGUUUUAAAUUCGAUUUGGGUCAUUUCUCACCACAUUUCUCUUGGCUUGGGGGCGAUUUUGGAGAUCUUCAAGGAGUAGUUCCGUCAUCUAUAUUAAGGUAAGUUACUCCUACUCAUUUUUGAGUUAAAUACAUCAAUUAUAUAUGGAUUCAAGCAUGAAUUGUAUAGAAAAUCAAGGUUUUAGAAGAAAAACUUAGAAAUUGAGAUUCUUGGAUUUUAGCCAUGAAUUUGAGCAUGAAACUAGGAGUAAAUUAUAUAUUUGAGUCCCUAAUGUUAUAGGUAACCUUUAAUUUUUGGAUUUUAGCCACGAAUAUGAGCAUGAAACUAGAAGUAAUUAUAUAUUUGAGUUCCUAAGGUUAUGGGUAACCUUUAUCUUCAAUAAUUUUUGGAUUCCGGGCAUGUGGGCCCGAGGGCAUUUUGGUCAUUUCACAAAAUGGAGUUGGAAAAUUGUAUUAUUUGAAUUGGUGGCGAGUAUUAGAGUAUAUUCUCAUCAUUUUGAUGUUGUUUGGCUAGUUUUGGAGCAUUUAUGCGUUGGUUCAAGUCUCUGCAGGAAAGAAGAAUGCCGAUAUUGAGUCUUUGGGCGAGAUUCUAUGCGCGAAGAUGUCGAUUCAAUAGGAAAUGGCAUUGCGGACUAGUCUACGGCCGGUUCGAGGUGAGCAUACUUGUAAAUGAUAUACUAAGGGUUUGAAACCCAGGAUUUGCACAUAAUAGCGCUGUAUUGAGGUGACUUGCACGCCGGAUAAAGGGCGUGGGGUAAAUCACCAUUGGGGAUUGUGACUUGGUCCGUCCCGAGAGAUGUUUUAACAGUGUUUUCUACUUGUAUUAAAUGGAGAAUUUAUCCUUACUUGGAUUUAAUUUUUACAUUUGGGCUUCUUGCCAAUUAUUUGAGUCCUUCAGGGAUUGAUGUCAUUGUUUUUGCAUAAGUGUGCAUAUCAUUUUACCUCAGUCCACGGUUUUGAAUUUUUUUUUGCAAACUCAUCCAUCUUUCUAAGAUUUGAAACUCAAAUGAUAUUCUAAAUGAUAUUUUGGGCUGAGAACUACUGUUUUGAAAAUGCCCGAGGGGCUUAUAAUGAUUUACGUACUAAGCAUGGAUCAGGUUGCAUGCCGCAACAGUAUUAUAUGUGCAUUUUUGGACUGAGCCAAAUGCCUGAGGGGCUUAUGAUGAUUUCUAUACUGAGUAUGGAUUGGGUUGCGCGCCGCAGUAGUAUUAUAUGUGCAUUUCUUGACUGAGUAUGGAUCGGGUAGUACGCCACAGCAGUGUACAUUGAUAUUAAGGCCGAGAGCCUGGUUGAUCAUACUGAUAUUGGUAUGAGGUCGAGAGCCUAGAUUUGAUGCCACAGGAUGGCUUGAUAUUACGCUUGAGCUGUAGGAGCCCCUCCGGAGUCUGUACGCAUCCCCGCUGAGUGCCGUCGAUGGUAAAUAAAUGGAGGGGGCUAUACGCUGCAGCGGAUACUAAAGUGUUCCGUCAUAUGCAUUGCAUUGCACUCAUGCAUUUGUUCUUAUUUUGUAAUAUUUUCAUGACAUUCAAUACUCAUAUUAUUGGCAUCCAUGCUACUUCUUGCACUGUUUAGCAGAUACUCUGGUGUUAUUUGUUAAUGGAUUGCUGUGCCCGAGAGGCUGAUGUUGUACUUUGUGAGUUGGGAGUGAGCCCGCGGGGCUGAUACUGUAAUGAGAGGUUGAUAUUGAGCCCGAGGGGCAGAUUUCUGAUUUUUCCAUACUUGUUGAAAUUGUUUUUGCAACUGUUGAAAAGGAAUAUUUCAAAAGAGGUUUUUAUUGAGCCCAGAUGUUUUCCAAAGGAUUUUUACGAUUUUACUGUUUCUCCUCAGAAAGGGUUGUACUGUUCUAUGUAGCAUGAUGAAGUGACUUACGUGAUUUCUUAUCGCUCAGUUAUUAUUUACUCUUAUUACCACUGAGUUGGAAGUACUCACUUUACUCCCUGCACUUCGCAUGCAAUUGCAGGUAUUGUUCGCCUGGUAGCGGGUUAUUAGCGGAUUGAAGAAUUAUUAUCGUUGCUGAGCCAAGUGACCGCUAGCGUCUGCAGCACCAGAUCUUUUCCCUUAAUUUAUGCUGUUCAUAUUAAUUUCAGAUUUUUUUCCCAUUUCCGGACUUGUAGUUCUUUAGCGAACUCUGUAGUAGCUCAUGACUAGUGACACCACGAUGUCGAGCAGUGACGGGAUGGUUCUUAGUUGGUAUUAUUGUUUUUCGCACUUUUGAUUAUGCUAAUCAUGUUUUAGCUUUAUAAAUGUUAAAUAANNNNN
rnacentral:lncRNA from 1 species